CAUUAGUGCACAGUUCUAAACCACUACAAAUGUAGCCCCUUCUGGCAAGUCCCUUCUCAAGAGAUGCCUGUGUCUGGAAAAGCCGGGGUGUUGAAGAUAUGAAAAUCCAAACAAAUCUGUGGCAGAGCCAGGAAUAGAUAUUAGAAGAUUCUGAAUUCCUCUGUGUUGCAAUUUCAGGGAAAAUGUGACUCUUAAAGAGGGAUCUGAAUGAAGCGGUUUGACAGACCAGAACUGGGAGGCCCUCCUGUGCUUAAGGAGUUGCAUGAAAAAAGGCACAAAGGUGACUGUGGACAAACAACACAUUGAGGUUGGCUUCAUUGGCUGGAACACAAGAGGAGUCUGGGGGACAUUCUGAGAGACCAGAUCUGAUAUGGAGGAAGAAGCAGAGUUGUGUAGGGCCUGGAAAGCAAGGUCAAGAUUUUGGCCUCUGUGUUCAACACAAUACUACAGAAGAUACCAGGGAAAAAGAAAAGUCCAGAGGAGGCCACAAAAAAGCUAACUGGGCCGGAACUAUUCACAUCUGCAGAAAUCUGCACAAACCACAACUAUGGUCACUGAAGAAAGGAAGGUAAAAUAGUAUGUUAUGAUCAAGGUGCAGUAAGAAUAGAUAUACAGUGACCUUUGAACUAAUGGUCCCUUGGGCCUGAUCUUGCUCUCACUGAAGUGAACAGGAGUUUUGCCAUUUCAGUGGAAAUAGUGGUAGGGUUGCCAACUCUCCAGGAUUGGCCUAGAGUCUACAGGAAUUAAAGAUUAUGUCAUGUGAUGAAAUCUUCAGGAAUACAUCCAACCAAAAUUAGCUACCCUAAGUCUCAGGCCCCCGGACUUCAGGCACACGGAAUAUAAAAAUAAGAACACAGGGAAAAGAGCAUUUAGUAAAGAGCUUUCAAGCAGAAUCAUACAACUGUAGCAAUUAGAAAUGGAAAAGACCUGUUAGGUCCCAUCUAGUCCAUCCAUCUGUAAGGGCAGGAUUGUUCCCUACAGUACAUUGUCUUGCACUUUAUCCAAGAGAUGGCAACUCUGAGGGAAGGCCACAAUAAAUGGCAAUACUGGUUGCUACUAAACAGAUAUAGCAACACAGAUAUUUAACAGGAAAGAAUACCGGAGCUUGUUUGGUAGCCAGGCUGAACUCGGCAAACUCCUGUGUCUUUAACAUACUAUAAUUCUGUGACUGUAGGGCCUAGCAGAGUCGCCUCCCAGAGAUGUUGGGGCCCCACCAGACCAGCUGCCUCCUGCUGCCGGUGCUGCUACCACUGGAUUGCAGAAGAAGUCUAUCCCAGCACUUUUCACACAAAGAGGAGAUGCUGGCAGGGUGAGGAACGAGUGAAGAUGUGGCCUCCAUUCAAAGUGGAUCUUGUUCCUGAAGGGGAAGUCAUCCUAGGGCAUCCCCUGACAGUUGUGCUGCCCUCAGGAGAACAGUAGUGCCCCCAGAGGUGGAAGGAGACUUUUUACUUCCUGCAGAAGAUCUUACCAUUAACUUGUUGCCCAUAUUAUCAAUGUUAAGGAGGGUAUGAGAGAUUGUCAUGGGAAAGGAAGACGACAGGGCCUACUGGAAAGUUGAUAAUUGGAAGGAGAGAGAAGGGACUGCUGGAGGUAUUAGGAAACAAGAGAGAUGAUAGGGAGGCCUAAACAAAAAAAAAAUUUAGGUUAAGCUCUGAAUAAGCAGAAUAAACUUCUCAAGCCUUUUCUGAUCUAAAUCUCCCAGUCUUUUGAGGUUCACCCAUCAUUAACAACACUCCCCAUAACUUUCUCAGCCUUUCUGUUUACACAAGCUAGUGCUUUCAUACAUAAAACUUGGAAAUGAAAACAUUAAAAAGCAGCUGGCGCCUAAUGGAAAGCCAAUAAAAAGUCUGUUUCCAAACAGUCCUGCUUCUAUAUCAUAAAUUUCUGUAUUUCUCACUCCCCUCAUUCUUUAUUACUAAGGACAUUUGCAUGAAAACAGAAAUUUUAUUUCUUAAGAGUUCAUCUGCUCCUCCUGUUUAGUUCCCAUCUGAAGUCAUAACCCCUUAGGUGUGACAUCACUAUUGCGUGCUCUGGGAAUGAUUAUGAAGUCACAAAGAGAGGAUUAGGACUUCAGGUGGGGAAUAAACAGCAAAAAGACAGAAUAAUUCUUAGUGCCAAAUCCAAGUCCUUAUCCAGUUUUUACAGAGGCAAAACUCUCAUUGAUUACCUGAGUAAGGAUUUCAGGAUUUGGGCCUUAGAAAGGUAAGAUCUGUUUUCAUACUGUUGCCUUGGUUUAAAAAAAAAAAAAGAUUCAGGAAAAAAUACAUAAAAUAGAAUA